rnacentral:rRNA from 1 species
GAUAGCUGAUAUUCUGCGAAAUCUAUUUAAGUAGAAAGUUUCUGUAAAAUAUUCUUUGUAUAGCACUUAUUUCCAUUUCUUGAUAAAUUGGAUUCCAAUUUAUUAUUUAUAGAAUAAAUUAGGGGAUCAAAAGAUCCUACUAUUGGAAGUUAACCUCAGAAGAAGAAUAUCUUGAUCAGAAACUGACAGUCUAUUUGUGAUAAGGUAAAUAGACAAAAGGGAAACAGCCCAGAUCAUAAAUUAAGGUCCCUAAUAAAUAUUUAGUGAACAUAAGAAGGUCUUUUAUCUAAUACAACUACAAAGUAAGCUCUAAUGGAUAAAAGGCAUCGAAGAUUAACGGGUCUGAAAUAUUUAACCUACAUUAUGGUAUAUAUACAUUUUUAUUUUUCAUAUAGAAAUGUAUAUGUAGGUAGCAGAACACUUAGUAUGAGAGUGAAGAAGUGGAUGAAUACAUUUUGGACUAUACUAAAGAGAGAAUGCUGGCAUGAGUAACGAUUAAGAAGUUAGAAUACUUCUCGCCGAACACGAAAGGGUUUUAUGGAAAAGGUAAUCUGCCAUAAUUUAUACGGUUUCUAAGGAAAAUAAACGAAUUGUUAUUUUCUGAUGAAGAAUAGAAAUCAUAGAGAAAGAAUCUUUCUUCUAGAAAAAGAUUUCUACUAUUGAUAGUAACCGUCCCUGAAACCGACACAGGUUCGUGGGUAGAGUAUACUAAGGCGUAGAGAUAAGGCUAGGGAAGGAACUCGGCAAAAUGCUUCUGUAAGUUCGACGAUAAAGAAGAAGUUAUAAUUUAGAAUCAUCUUAUGAUUCUUUUAUAACUUGUCACAAAAGUGAGGGCUUCGACUGUUUACUAAAAACAUAGCAACUUGCUAAGACGAAAAGUCCUUGUAUAAGUUGUGAACUCUGUCCAAUGCCAUUUGUUUAAGGAAGGGAAUCUUCUUCCGGGAAGUGUUCCUGACUGAUGCGGGGGUGAAUGACGGUCUUAACUAUAAGGAUCUGAAAGUAGCGAAAUUCCUUGGCCAUUAAAUGUGGUCCUGCAUGAAUGAGGUAACGCGGCCCUGCUGUCUCCACUAGCUUCUCAGUGAAAUUGAAUUAGCCGUGCAGAUGCGGUUUGCCUUCCGGAGGACGCGAAGACCCUAUGCAGCUUUACUGUAUUCUGAUAUUGUUAUUCGUGAUAUAUAGUGUAGAAUACAAGGGAGGGUAACAUCCGUGAAAUACCUUGAUAUAUUGAAUGGAAUAACUUAUUUUUUCUAAAAAAGACAGUAUCAGAUGGUCAGUUUUCCUGGGGCGGUAGCCUCUAAGAAAGUAUCAGAGGCCUUCAAAGGGAUACUUACAUUGGUCAGAAACCAAUAGAUAAUUGUAUCUAUCAAAAUGUAAUGAUAAAAGUAUGCUUUACUGAAAGAUUGAUAGAUCGAUCAGUUACGCAAGUAGGAUAUAGUGAUCCGAUGAUUCAGAAUGGAAUGAUCAUCGCUCAAGAAAUAAAAGUUACGCUAGGGAUAACAGGUUUAUCGUUUGCGAGAGUUCACAUUGUCCAAACGGUUUGACACCUCGAUAAAAUAAAAAUAUUUUUAUGAAGAGUCGUUGUCGAGGUUAAAUUCUCUUUCAAUAAGACAAUUCGCAGCCAAGUUUAUUACGGUAUUUUUUAUUUUUCAUUUUUCUUUAGUAAUUUGAAAGAAUUAUGCUAGAAAUAAUUAUGUAAUAAAAAGGUUCAACGACUAGAAAGUGAGUUAUACCAACAAUAAUCUUUCCACGAGCGCCCAACAAAAUAUAUUUGAUUGUCACUUCAAAUGUAUUUUGAAGAUAUAGUCUAAUCCAUUGGUGACUAAUGGUAAGUAAGUAUAAACAACUUACUAUCUUUAUUUAUAAAAAAUAUUUCUGGCAUUUAGCUUGUCUAGGAAUUAUAUAGAUAAAGAAAAAUGG